AAGUAGUCUGCUUCUAACUUCAUUCAUGUUUUACUUUUGACUGUCAACCGAUGUGGAAUUUUUCAUUAUGGAUUUGAUUAUAAAUUUUUAAAUUUGGCUCCAAAUUCUAUAUUUGCGGAAGUCGUGAUAUUUCUGACUGAGAAUUUGACGAUUGGCGAGGUAGUUACCUUGUUCUUUUUGGUAAGCGACCGUGGUAGCGUUAAGAUCAAUUUCUCCAGAUAUUUUUGAAAAGCGGGAUUUAGCUGGCCUAAAGGAGCCUUCCGCCGAUUUCAAAAAUUCUGGAAUAUUAAAUUGUUAAUUGACAUCCAAGAAGAAGUAGUUCCCUUCGUUAAAAAGGAAGUUUUAGUAAGUGAGAGAAGAAAACGGAGUAAGAAGUAGAGCCAGCGCAUGUAACGCGAUGUUCACUAAGAACGGUUCCAUAUACGUCGGUGGAGAAGACGGUGGGUUAUUUAGCUGGUAGUCGUCCACCUCCGUGGAUGAAUUCAGCACACCUGUUACAACUUCCCAGAAGUCUUUGGAAGAUUUUCCGACCCACAAAAAAAAGGUUAAGUUAGGUUAUAUUAGGUUGUUAUGUUAGGUUAUGUUGGGUUAAGUUAGGUUAUGUUCGGUUAUGUCAGGGUAUGUUAGGUUAUGUUAGUUUAAGUUAGGUUAUGAUGGGUUGUUAUGUUACAUAAAUGGCCCCAACUAUCUGA